UUAAGCGACUAAGCGUACACGGUGGAUGCCCUGGCAGUCAGAGGCGAUGAAGGACGUGCUAAUCUGCGAUAAGCGCCGGUAAGGUGAUAUGAACCGUUAUAACCGGCGAUUUCCGAAUGGGGAAACCCAGUGUGAUUCGUCACACUAUCAUUAACUGAAUCCAUAGGUUAAUGAGGCGAACCGGGGGAACUGAAACAUCUAAGUACCCCGAGGAAAAGAAAUCAACCGAGAUUCCCCCAGUAGCGGCGAGCGAACGGGGAGGAGCCCAGAGCCUGAAUCAGCAUGUGUGUUAGUGGAAGCGUCUGGAAAGGUGCGCGAUACAGGGUGACAGCCCCGUACACAAAAGCGCAUGUGCUGUGAGCUCGAUGAGUAGGGCGGGACACGUGGUAUCCUGUCUGAAUAUGGGGGGACCAUCCUCCAAGGCUAAAUACUCCUGACUGACCGAUAGUGAACCAGUACCGUGAGGGAAAGGCGAAAAGAACCCCGGCGAGGGGAGUGAAAAAGAACCUGAAACCGUGUACGUACAAGCAGUGGGAGCACAGGUUUACCUGUGUGACUGCGUACCUUUUGUAUAAUGGGUCAGCGACUUAUAUUCUGUAGCAAGGUUAACCGUAUAGGGGAGCCGUAGGGAAACCGAGUCUUAACCGGGCGUUAAGUUGCAGGGUAUAGACCCGAAACCCGGUGAUCUAGCCAUGGGCAGGUUGAAGGUUGGGUAACACUAACUGGAGGACCGAACCGACUAAUGUUGAAAAAUUAGCGGAUGACCUGUGGCUGGGGGUGAAAGGCCAAUCAAACCGGGAGAUAGCUGGUUCUCCCCGAAAGCUAUUUAGGUAGCGCCUCGUGAAUUCAUCUCCGGGGGUAGAGCACUGUUUCGGCUAGGGGGCCAUCCCGGCUUACCAACCCGAUGCAAACUGCGAAUACCGGAGAAUGUUAUCACGGGAGACACACGGCGGGUGCUAACGUCCGUCGUGAAGAGGGAAACAACCCAGACCGCCAGCUAAGGUCCCAAAGUCAUGGUUAAGUGGGAAACGAUGUGGGAAGGCCCAGACAGCCAGGAUGUUGGCUUAGAAGCAGCCAUCAUUUAAAGAAAGCGUAAUAGCUCACUGGUCGAGUCGGCCUGCGCGGAAGAUGUAACGGGGCUAAACCAUGCACCGAAGCUGCGGCAGCGAACGUAUCACUUAAAGCGAUUCAGCGGGUUACGAUUGACGGAGCGAAGCGACGUCAAAGCGUAUACAAAGUCGAGUCGGUUUAAGGAUACGUUCGUUGGGUAGGGGAGCGUUCUGUAAGCCCGUGAAGGUGGCCUGUGAGGGUUGCUGGAGGUAUCAGAAGUGCGAAUGCUGACAUAAGUAACGAUAAAGCGGGUGAAAAGCCCGCUCGCCGGAAGACCAAGGGUUCCUGUCCAACGUUAAUCGGGGCAGGGUGAGUCGACCCCUAAGGCGAGGCCGAAAGGCGUAGUCGAUGGGAAACGGGUUAAUAUUCCCGUACUUGGUGUUACUGCGAAGGGGGGACGGAGAAGGCUAUGUUGGCCGGGCGACGGUUGUCCCGGUUUAAGCGUGUAGGUGUGUGUUCCAGGUAAAUCCGGUUCACUUUAACACUGAGGCGUGACGACGAGGCACUACGGUGCUGAAGCAACAAAUGCCCUGCUUCCAGGAAAAGCCUCUAAGCAUCAGGUAACAUCAAAUCGUACCCCAAACCGACACAGGUGGUCAGGUAGAGAAUACCAAGGCGCUUGAGAGAACUCGGGUGAAGGAACUAGGCAAAAUGGUGCCGUAACUUCGGGAGAAGGCACGCUGACACGUAGGUGAAGUGAUUUACUCAUGGAGCUGAAGUCAGUCGAAGAUACCAGCUGGCUGCAACUGUUUAUUAAAAACACAGCACUGUGCAAACACGAAAGUGGACGUAUACGGUGUGACGCCUGCCCGGUGCCGGAAGGUUAAUUGAUGGGGUCAGCGCAAGCGAAGCUCCUGAUCGAAGCCCCGGUAAACGGCGGCCGUAACUAUAACGGUCCUAAGGUAGCGAAAUUCCUUGUCGGGUAAGUUCCGACCUGCACGAAUGGCGUAAUGAUGGCCAGGCUGUCUCCACCCGAGACUCAGUGAAAUUGAACUCGCUGUGAAGAUGCAGUGUACCCGCGGCAAGACGGAAAGACCCCGUGAACCUUUACUAUAGCUUGACACUGAACAUUGAGCCUUGAUGUGUAGGAUAGGUGGGAGGCUUUGAAGUGUGGACGCCAGUCUGCAUGGAGCCGACCUUGAAAUACCACCCUUUAAUGUUUGAUGUUCUAACGUGGACCCGUAAUCCGGGUUGCGGACAGUGUCUGGUGGGUAGUUUGACUGGGGCGGUCUCCUCCUAAAGAGUAACGGAGGAGCACGAAGGUUGGCUAAUCCUGGUCGGACAUCAGGAGGUUAGUGCAAUGGCAUAAGCCAGCUUGACUGCGAGCGUGACGGCGCGAGCAGGUGCGAAAGCAGGUCAUAGUGAUCCGGUGGUUCUGAAUGGAAGGGCCAUCGCUCAACGGAUAAAAGGUACUCCGGGGAUAACAGGCUGAUACCGCCCAAGAGUUCAUAUCGACGGCGGUGUUUGGCACCUCGAUGUCGGCUCAUCACAUCCUGGGGCUGAAGUAGGUCCCAAGGGUAUGGCUGUUCGCCAUUUAAAGUGGUACGCGAGCUGGGUUUAGAACGUCGUGAGACAGUUCGGUCCCUAUCUGCCGUGGGCGCUGGAGAACUGAGGGGGGCUGCUCCUAGUACGAGAGGACCGGAGUGGACGCAUCACUGGUGUUCGGGUUGUCAUGCCAAUGGCACUGCCCGGUAGCUAAAUGCGGAAGAGAUAAGUGCUGAAAGCAUCUAAGCACGAAACUUGCCCCGAGAUGAGUUCUCCCUGAGACUUAGAGUCUCCUGAAGGAACGUUGAAGACGACGACGUUGAUAGGCCGGGUGUGUAAGCGCAGCGAUGCGUUGAGCUAACCGGUACUAAUGAACCGUGAGGCUUAACCU
rnacentral:rRNA from 2 species